UACGUAGGCAGCAAGCGUUGUUCGGAGUUACUGGGCGUAAAGAGUGCGUAGGCGGUCCUGUAAGUUUGGUGUGAAAUCUCCCGGCUCAACUGGGAGGGUGCGCCGAAGACUGGAAGGCUUGAGUAUGGGAGAGGUAAGCGGAAUUCCUGGUGUAGCGGUGAAAUGCGUAGAUAUCAGGAGGAACACCGGUGGCGAAGGCGGCGACCUGGGUCGACACUGACGCUGAGGCGCGAAAGCGUGGGGAGCAAACAGG
rnacentral:rRNA from 1 species